rnacentral:rRNA from 1 species
UACGAAGGGGGCUAGCGUUGCUCGGAAUCACUGGGCGUAAAGGGUGCGUAGGCGGGUCUUAAGUCAGAGGUGAAAUCCUGGAGCUCAACUCCAGAACUGCCUUUGAUACUGCAUGACUUGAGUACUGAUGAGGUAGGCGGAAUUGACGGUGUAGCGGUGAAAUGCUUAGAUAUCGUCAAGAACACCGAUAGCGAAGGCAGCUUACUAAGCAGUAACUGACGCUGAUGCACGAAAGUGUGGGGAUCAAACAGGA